rnacentral:rRNA from 1 species
GAUGAACGCUGGCGGCGUGCCUAAUACAUGCAAGUCGAACGCAUUGAGAAAAGUGCUUGCACUUUUCAAUUUGAGUGGCGAACGGGUGAGUAACACGUGGGCAACCUACCUGAUAGCGGGGGAUAACGAGUGGAAACAUUCGCUAAUACCGCAUAACAAUAGAGAAGGCAUCUUCUUUAUUUAAAAGGCGCUUUCAAGCGUCACUAUCAGAUGGGCCCGCGGUGCAUUAGUUAGUUGGUGGGGUGAAGGCCUACCAAGACGAUGAUGCAUAGCCGAGUUGAGAGACUGAUAGGCCAGAUUGGGACUGAGACACGGCCCAAACUCCUACGGGAGGCUGCAGUAGGGAAUCUUCGAAAAAGGACGAAAGUCUGAUGGAGCAACGCCGCGUGUGUGGUGAAGGCUUUCGGGUCGUAAAGCACUGUUGUAUGGGAAGAAAUGCUAGGCUAGGAAAUGAGCUUAGUUUGACGGUACCAUACCAGAAAGGGACGGCUAAAUACGUGCCAGCCGCCGCGGUAA